GGUUGAUCCAAAGGGAGUGAGUUAUCCAAAAUGUUCACAGUGAGUUACAGAUCAAAUUUCUUGUUCUACUUUUUCCCCGCUUCUCACAACUGCACUUGACUAGUCUUAA
ensembl:misc_RNA Y_RNA Y RNA